GAUGAACGCUGGCGGCGUGCCUAAUACAUGCAAGUCGAGCGAACAGACGAGGAGCUUGCUCCUCUGACGUUAGCGGCGGACGGGUGAGUAACACGUGGAUAACCUACCUAUAAGACUGGGAUAACUUCGGGAAACCGGAGCUAAUACCGGAUAAUAUAUUGAACCGCAUGGUUCAAUAGUGAAAGACGGUUUUGCUGUCACUUAUAGAUGGAUCCGCGCCGCAUUAGCUGGUUGGUAAGGUAAAGGCUUACCAAGGCGACGAUGCGUAGCCGACCUGAGAGGGGGAUCGGCCACACUGGAACUGAGACACGGUCCAGACGCCUACGGGAGGCAGCAGUAGGGAAUCGUCCGCAAUGGGCGAAAGCCUGACGGAGCAACGCCGCGUGAGUGAUGAAGGUCUUCGGAUCGUAAAACUCUGUUAUUAGGGAAGAACAAAUGUGUAAGUAACUAUGCACGUCUUGACGGUACCUAAUCAGAAAGCCACGGCUAACUACGUG
rnacentral:rRNA from 1 species